UCGGACAUGGUGUAGGGUACACGGCCUCCAUCUCUACGGCGCGUACCUCUGUUAGAGGCUAUCCGGGGUUCGACUCCCCGUGUCCGAA